rnacentral:tRNA from 1 species
GCCUUCGUGGUGUAACGGUAGCACACUUGACGCGUAUUCGAGAGGUCCAGGUUCAAGUCCCGAUGAGGGCA